GAUGAACGCUGGCGGCGUGCUUAACACAUGCAAGUCGAACGAUUAAACCGGUCUUCGGAUCGGACAUAGAGUGGCGAACGGGUGAGUAACACGUGACCAACCUGCCCCAUACACCGGGAUAACCAGUGGAAACGCUGGCUAAUACCGGAUACUCUUCGGAUGUCGCAUGGCAUCCGAAGGAAAGCUUUCGCGGUAUGGGAUGGGGUCGCGGCCCAUUAGGUAGACGGCGAGGUAGAGGCUCACCGUGCCUGCGAUGGGUAGCCGGGUUGAGAGACCGACCGGCCACAUUGGGACUGAGAUACGGCCCAG
rnacentral:rRNA from 1 species